CCCUUAGAUGUUCUGGGCCGCACGCGCGCUACACUGAUGAAUGCAACGAGCUCUACCCUUGACCGAAAGGCCCGGGUAAACUUGUGAAACUUCAUCGUGAUGGGGAUAGAUUAUUGCAAUUAUUAAUCUUCAACGAGGAAUUCCUAGUAAGCGCGAGUCAUCAGCUCGCGUUGAUUACGUCCCUGCCCUUUGUACACACCGCCCGUCGCUCCUACCGAUUGAGUGGUCCGGUGAGGCUUUGGGAUCUGAGCGGAAAGAGCGUUUCGCUGUUUCUGCUCGGAAAACUCAGUCGAACCUUAUCAUUUAGAGGAAGGAGAAGUCGUAACA
rnacentral:rRNA from 1 species